CGGAGGCUACCGCUAUUGGAGUUCGAUUAAGCCAUGCGAGUCGAGAGUCCUCGGGACUCGGCGUACCGCUCAGUAACACGUGGGUAACCUGCCCUAUGCUGGGGAAUAACCUCGGGAAACUGAGAAUAAUGCCCCAUAGCCCACUACGCCUGGAACGGUGAGUGGGUCAAAGCCCCGGCGGCAUAGGAUGGGCCUGCGCCGUAUCAGGUUGUAGGGGGUGUAAAGUACCCUCUAGCCAUCAACGCGUACGGGUGUUGGGAGACAUUGCCCGGAGAUGGAUUCUGAGACACGAAUCCAGACCCUACGGGGUGCAGCAGGCGCGAAAACUUGGCAAUGCGAGAAAUCGUGACCAGGGAACUCCAAGUGCGUAGGGUAAGACCUACGCUUUUCUUGACUCUUCAAAGGUCUCGGAAUAAGGGGUGGGUAAGGACGGUGCCAGCCGCCGCGGUAAUACCGGCGCCUCAAGUGGUAGUCGCUUUUAUUGGGCCUAAAACGUCCGUAGCCGGUCUGGUGCAUUCGUGGGUAAAUCAACCCGCUCAACGGGUUGAAUUCUGCGAGCACGGCCAGACUUGGGACCGGGAGAGGUGUGGGGUACUCUCAGGGUAGGGGUAAAAUCCUGUCAUCCUGAGAGGACCACCUGUUGCGAAGGCGCCACACUAGAACGGAUCCGACGGUCAGGGACGAAACCUAGGGGCACGAACCGGAUUAGAUACCCGGGUAGUCCUAGGUGUAAACGCUGUGGACUUGAUGUUGGGGGCGCUCCGAGCGCUCUCAGUGUCGAAGCGAAGGUGAUAAGUCCACUGCCUGGGGAGUACGGUCGCAAGGCUGAAACUUAAAGGAAUUGGCGGGG
rnacentral:rRNA from 1 species